rnacentral:SRP_RNA from 1 species
GCUGGGCGUGGUGGCGGGCGCCUGUAAUCCCAGCUACUCAGGAAGCUGAGGCAGGAGAAUCGCUUGAACCCAGGAGGUGGAGGUUGCAGUGAGCCAUGAUCGUGCCACUGCACUCCAGCCUGGGUGACAGAAUGAGACUCCGUCUCAA